rnacentral:rRNA from 1 species
CGCCUUAUACUCCUACGGGAGGCAGCAGUGGGGAAUAUUGGACAAUGGGCGAAAGCCUGAUCCAGCCAUGCCGCGUGUGUGAAGAAGGUCUUCGGAUUGUAAAGCACUUUAAGUUGGGAGGAAGGGCAGUUACCUAAUACGAGAUUGUUUUGACGUUACCGACAGAAUAAGCACCGGCUAACUCUGUGCCAGCAGCCGCGGUAAUACAGAGGGUGCAAGCGUUAAUCGGAAUUACUGGGCGUAAAGCGCGCGUAGGUGGUUUGUUAAGUUGGAUGUGAAAUCCCCGGGCUCAACCUGGGAACUGCAUUCAAAACUGACUGACUAGAGUAUGGUAGAGGGUGGUGGAAUUUCCUGUGUAGCGGUGAAAUGCGUAGAUAUAGGAAGGAACACCAGUGGCGAAGGCGACCACCUGGACUGAUACUGACACUGAGGUGCGAAAGCGUGGGGAGCAAACAGGAUUAGAUACCCCUGUAGUCCACGUACCA